CGUCUUUUGGGUGACACAGUUCAACUUGUAACCAUUACCAAAUUCAUGUCUCAUUACUCAGCAUCACAGACCCCGGCUUCACAGGGCCACGGUGCCUGGGGUGUCAGCUCUGAUGGGUCUCUGGUGUCUUAGGGUUGAGCGCUGGCCUAUUGACAAGGCUCAGGGGAAGGCAGGGCAUCUCCAUGGCAGAAGUCAGCACUGCACGGGGCACAAAUGGAGCCAAACUUGCAGGGCUCAGCUCCAGCUCCACACCCCACUGUCUGUGACUCCUCGCUUUUCUUCGCCUCUCUGGGCCUCAGUUUCCCCAUCUGUGAAAUACGGGCCACGGUGGUACACGCUCCAUAGGACAGCACUCAGAAUGGCACCUGUGAAGCUCUGAAUACGUGUGCACUGUUAUUGGCCUAGUCACGCCCACUCACAGGUUCACAGCUUUGCUCCUUUUGGGUGAGAAAGGCUGUCCUACUGGAAGUACCAGAAAGUUCCCCCUCCCCCUGGGCCUGGUCAUGGCGGAAAAAGGAAGCUUAUAGUCCGCCUCGGUCUCCAGAAAACACAGCGAGCUCCUGGUGAGGACGGAGGAGGCCUCUGCCCAGGCGGAUUGUAGGCCGGGGCGUUUGCUUUCAAACCUGCCCCGCUCUGGUGAACAAGCUCUCUUUUGGCUGCUGGCGCUGCGUCCGGCUUGGAAGGUGAUUUCCCGUCAUUUGCUGCCUGUGCAGCUGGCAGUUUUUUUUCGGACACUCAUGACCCGUGGAGAGCUAUCAGGGCCCAGAGGCAGAAGCUGGGACCAGAGCCUUUCCAGCCAGGACUAGGACCGGCUGGCCGGAGAGGGCAGCCUCCCGGGGGCCAGCUGGUGGGGUAGAGGCCGGCAGAUGCCAGGCCUGGCCUUCGCCAUCCAAGCUGGCAGGACAAGGCCUGUCUGCCCCUCGUGAGCUCCUCACACACUGGACCUGGGGAAGCCAGGACCUCCUGCAUCCAGACCUGUCCUCCGCGAUGGGGCGGCGUGGCCAGGCCGGGCCCUGAGCAGUACCACCGCUGCUGCCACUGUCAUUAGCGCCUGGGAUGCAGGCCUGGGUUGGAAAGACUGAGCCGCACCCCAGGCCUCUCCGACCCUGAGUUUGUUCAUCUGGGAGUUGAAGCAGGAGGGGCCGGGCCCUGCACUCUAGGCCCUUCACGGAGACAUCUUUUUUGCCCUCAGUCAUCGUCUUCCCCUUUCCAGGCCUGAGGACAGCAGCGUUCUUCUUGGGUUUUUUUACUUUUUUUUUUUUUUUAAGAAGGUGGAGAUUCCUAGAAAAGACAAAAUUACUGAGACAGAAAGCAGACCUGUGGUUGCCUGGGGCUGGGGUGGGGUUGACUGAAGAUGGGCCCACAGCGUGAUGGAAGCGUUUGAAGACAGUUUGUGUCGGUGGUUGAGCUGCUUUGGACAUUCACGCAUCAAACAGUGUGCCUGCCGUGGUGCUGCUCUGCCUGGAAGACCGUAACCAGGUUUCUUCUCAUCAUGCAGGUCUUGUGCUAAGUUCCUAGCGCUGCCAUCACCAAUGAUCACAAACUCGGCAGCUUAAUGCAGUAGAAUGAUAUCAUCUCACAGUUCUGAAGGCCAGAAGUUCAAAAUGAAGGUGUCAACUCGGUUGGUUCCUUCUGGUGGCUCGAAGGGACGAUUCAUUCCAUGCCCCUUCUCACUGCUGGUGGCUGCGGGCAACCUUGGGGCUUCAGAAUUCAGGUCACCAAGAAGAACCUGUGGCCAGGCCGGGGCCUGUGACUGCUCCAUGGAGCCCAUGGUGUGUGUCCAGCGUCCUUCCUCUCCGGACCUUGGUGCCUUCAACCCUGGCAGUGGAGAUGCCAACACCUGCCCUCGGGCUUUUUCUGACGACUGAGGGACUCAAUACAGGUCACACGCCCAAGACAGUAAGCCUUUGGAAGGACUCAGGAGUUGGCAGUGUGUAUCACUCAUUCCCUUCAGAAGUUGUGUUGUAUAGUGUUUCUUGGAAUGAACUAGAGGGAAAUGUUCCCCCAAAUAUGUAAAUAAAUAACACAACUCUGAAAACUGAAA